rnacentral:miRNA from 1 species
UUCCUUCUGGUCAAUGAGGUAAAUGUACCUCAUCAACCGGAAGGAAACCCUUCCAAUUGAUGAGGUACAUCUACCUCAUUGACCGGAAGGAA